CAGCUGCUGGCCGACCCCAGCCCUGCUGCCCUCUAGGCCGAUGCCUGAGAAGGGUGCCACAUCCUGCCCCCGGGGCCCAGCCGCCCCGACCCCAGGGAGCUCCUGGCCUGCCGAGACCAGCUCGGCGACUUGAGGAGAAGAUACGCCUGUAGGAGAAGAUAAGCCUAUUCGAGUUAUUUCUUUUUCCGUCAAUCCUUGGAGCGUUCCUCCUGUGCACCUGAGAACUUAAACAUAGGAUAAUUAAAAGACAACAAAAAGUAUCAAAAUGCUUAGGAGACUGCUAUUCAUGCCUUUUAUCCAAUCCAAUGGAUGCAAUGCUUUUAAUCCAUCAGCUAUACUUUGUAAAGUAGCAAAUUUGGUGUAGAGACUGCAAAAAUCAUAUUGCAUGCCAGUUAUUUUAGUUUGUAAUUGUUGUAUGUCCAGUGUGAGACCAUCCGCUCCAUAUCCCAGCAGAUGUGUCACUGGCAUCAUGGCCAUCCCAGAUUUGUAAUGUUAAUAUAAUUAAUUGCAAUGGCUGAUUAACAGUUACUCUCUGUAAUUGAGAAGAAUGAAUUUUAUUUUCUACAAGUUUUAGUUCCUCUAAAGCAGCUGAUGUUAAAGUUCUUGGACUAUUUAAUUUUGAAUCUCCUUUUAACAAAGCAAAUAGGUUAGACAAUGCAUAGGUGGGGAUCCCUAUGCAUGGGCGAAGCCAAUUAAUAUCUCCUAGGAGUUUUUGCAAAUCAUUAAGAGUUUGGAUUUGAUCUGACCUCAGUUCCACCUUUUGUGGUCUAAUAGUUGUUCUAUCAACUAUUGUGCCCAAAUAUUGAUAUGGGCUAUGCAUUUGUACCUUUUCCGGAGCUAUUUUAAGUCCUGCUCUAUCAAGGCAAAGCUGCAUGCUAAUAUACGCAGAAGUAAGUAAAUCUUGAUUAGGAGCAGCACACAAGAUAUCAUCCAUGUAAUGGAUAAGAUAACAAUUAGGAAAUUCUAGUCGUACUGGUCCAAGGGCUUUAGCAACAAAAUUCUGGCAAAUAGUAGGGCUAUUCAACAUGCCUUGAGGUAACACCUUCCAUUGAAACCUUUUUCGAGGUUCUUUAUUAUUUAGUGCAGGCACAGAAAAAGCAAAUUUUUCUUUAUCUUUGGGAUGUAAUGGAAUGGUGAAAAAGCAGUCUUUCAGAUCAAUAACUAUUAAAGGCCAAUUAGCAGGGAUCAUAUUAGGUGAUGGGAGGCCUGGUUGUAAGGCCCCCAUUGGUUGUAUAACUGCAUUGACUGCUCUGAGAUCUGUUAAUAAACGCCAUUUACCA